AACCUAGCACACCUGCGGUGUGUACCUGCGGAGGGAUCAUUACCGAGUUUACAACUCCCAAACCCCUGUGAACAUACCACUUGUUGCCUCGGCGGAUCAGCCCGCUCCCGGUAAAACGGGACGGCCCGCCAGAGGACCCCUAAACUCUGUUUCUAUAUGUAACUUCUGAGUAAAACCAUAAAUAAAUCAAAACUUUCAACAAUGGAUCU
rnacentral:misc_RNA from 1 species